AUAGCGUAUAUUAAAGUUGUUGCAGUUAAAAAGCUCGUAGUUGAACUUCAGAUUUGGUCGGGUGGUCCGCUUAACGGCGUGUUACUGCUUGGCUGGGUCUUGUCUCUUGGUGAACCAUUGUGCCCUUUAUUGGUGUGCUUUGGGGAACCAGGACUUUUACCUUGAGAAAAUUAGAGUGUUCAAAGCAGGCCUAUGCCUGGAUACAUUAGCAUGGAAUAAUAGAAUAGGACGUGUGGUUCUAUUUUGUUGGUUUCUAGAAUUGCCGUAAUGAUUAAUAGGGAUAGUUGGGGGCAUUGGUAUUUAGUCGCUAGAGGUGAAAUUCUUGGAUUGACUGAAGACCGACUAUUG
rnacentral:rRNA from 1 species